AUUGAACGCUGGCGGCAUGCUUUACACAUGCAGGUCGAACGGCAGCGCGGGCUUCGGCCUGGCGGCGAGUGGCGAACGGGUGAGUAAUGCAUCGGAACGUGCCCAGUAGUGGGGGAUAGCCCGGCGAAAGCCGGAUUAAUACCGCAUACGACCUGAGGGUGAAAGCGGGGGACCGAAAGGCCUCGCGCUAUUGGAGCGGCCGAUGUCGGAUUAGCUAGUUGGUGGGGUAAAGGCUUACCAAGGCGACGAUCCGUAGCUGGUCUGAGAGGACGACCAGCCACACUGGGACUGAGACACGGCCCAGACUCCUACGGGAGGCAGCAGUGGGGAAUUUUGGACAAUGGGGGCAACCCUGAUCCAGCCAUGCCGCGUGCGGGAAGAAGGCCUUCGGGUUGUAAACCGCUUUUGUUCGGGAAGAAAUCCUCUGGGCUAAUACCCCGGGGGGAUGACGGUACCGGAAGAAUAAGCACCGGCUAACUACGUG
rnacentral:rRNA from 1 species